CGCACAUUGCGCCCUUUGGUAUUCCGAAGGGCAUGCCUGUUCGAGCGUCAUUGCAACCCUCAAGCUCAGCUUGGUAUUAGCUAUCGUCGCCGAGACGUAGCCAAAAUUUAGUGGCGGUCUAGCGAGACUUCAAGCGAACAAGAUUUAUAUCACGCUUAGCAAGCACCUCGUCGGUCUAGCCAAAAAAUAAUAUUUUCACGGUUGACCUCGGAUCAGGUAGGGAUACCCGCUGAACUUAA
rnacentral:misc_RNA from 1 species